UUUAUGGAUGUGCUGUCACAAAAGGCUGUAAGAAACCACAAGUUCUUCGCUUCACCAGCUGUCCAGGGUCCUCAGAAUCUGGCUUCCUUCAAAACGUGAGCCCAGUGCACUGUUGGUGAUGAAAAUCUGCAGCACAACAAUUUGAUGAGGCUGUGAUCGUGGAAGGAUACAAAAAGAGAUGUGCUGUUUCAGGUGGAUCAUGAGGAAAUCCUGAAUUAUAAAGGUCAGUCAGUUGCUGUGUGCCAUGGAACGACCACAGCCCAUCUAUAUUUUAGCAUCCUUCCUGGCCAUGGUCAGGUAGGCA